ensembl:lncRNA
GUCCUCUGCAGACAUGGCUAAGGAUGUCCCUGGACUCUGACUGCGUGCUGCUGUCAUUGAGGGGCUCCAGGACGUCCUGCGUCCUCCAAAGCGAGGACGAGAAGGAUGACCCCCCUGGAGCGGGAGAGGAGAGUGUCCUGGAGAUGCUGAGCUGCUCCAAGUUCUCCGGGCUGGAGACAUGGCUCUGCAUGCCGUCCUCCUUACUGCUGCCCAGCGGCCCGGACCUCACCCCCACCUCCUCCUCUUCACAUGCAUCCAACCAGCCGACCUCCUCUGCCUCAUCCUCCUCAUCCUCAGCCUCCAACUGCCGUCGCUCCACCUGCAGCGAUCCAGGAGAGACGCUCAGGUCGUGGGACGGCGACUCCUCCCUCCCCCCUCCUGCUCUCCUCCCAGUCUCCUCCACCCCCGCUGGACAGUCCUCCUCCCCCCCCCUCCUCCUCCUCCGCCGGGGGGGGCAUCAGGAAGCGUCGGCGCCUUGCUGCCAGUCCCGGAGGACUCCACUGGAACUCUGCAGAGGGAGCUGUUACUCCAUCAGAGGGAGAGACGAGGGGGGGACAGACAGACAGGAAGACAGAUACCCCCCCUCGUGCUUGCAGCAGUCUCACAGGUUUGGUGCAACGGGACUGGUCACCUGACCCGUCUCCGGUGUCGGGGGAGAACGCAACAGCAGGACGAGGGGCGAGCCCCCCCCCCUGGUGCAGGUAGGCGGGGCCACGUGGGGGGCCGACCGGGCUGCCCUGAGACUCCUGAGUCGGCUGGAGAGAGGCAGGAAGAAGGUCCACGGCAUCCAGAGUCUGGGAACCACUGGCAGAUACGACUCCAGGAGGAAGUAAGUCAUCAUCAUCAUCAUCAUCAUCAGUCGGUUCUCUUUGAUCUUCGUGUAUUCUGAGAGCAAGAAGUCCUGAUGUGAAGAAGCAGGAGUUCUGGCCUCUGCUUUCAACAGCAACCGGA